rnacentral:rRNA from 1 species
UACGUAGGGUCCGAGCGUUGUCCGGAAUUAUUGGGCGUAAAGAGCUCGUAGGCGGCUUGUCGCGUCGUUCGUGAAAACCUGUGGCUCAACUACAGGCUUGCGGUCGAUACGGGCAGGCUGGAGUUCGGUAGGGGAGACUGGAAUUCCUGGUGUAGCGGUGAAAUGCGUAGAUAUCUGGAGGAACACCGGUGGCGAAAGCGCUCUGCUAGGCCGCAACUGACACUGAGGGACGAAAGCGUGGGGAGCGAACAGG